AUUGUGAAAAUCCAGUUUCCAUUUAAUGAAUGUAAUAAUGGGUGAGGAAUUCCUAUUGCACGCUUUCAAAUUGAAAUGCGAAUUUCAAGUUAUGGUAAACGAAAUAGUAACCGCGGAUAUUGAGGCUGGUGUGAGAAAAAUGAUUGAAUUUGUUUUGCAACAGCUAAAACAACGCUGUCCCGAAUUUGAAGUGGCUGACAUAAUACCGACAGGAAGUUUUUAUGAGGGCACAAAAGUAGGAGCACCUGACGAGUUUGAUUUCAUGCUGACUUUGGCGAAGCUUUCUGUACCCGACAAAAUUUCUCUGCAUCCAGGUUGCUCUGUGUGGUAUCCUCAUAUCAAAUUACAACCAGAGGUUGAUUUUCCGUCUCAGUAUAAGGUUAAUGUUCGUCUUGAUGGAGAACAAAGCAAAGAUAAAGACUUCCUAAACGUUUUAAGGAUUUACUUUUUAAACACGGAUGCCACGUAGUUCCUAAAUCAUGCCAUAUCAAUCAUAUGGCCCGUACAAAGUGUUGGUUUGUAACCUUUUCGUGCAUGGAACGUGAGCUGAUAAGCAACAUGAAUGAGCACCACAAGAAAUGUUACAAGAUUCUGAAGUCACUUAUCAGCUGUGAUAUUAACAUGUCAAGAAAAUGCAUGAACUUGUCAUCUUAUACUCUAAAAACUGCAUUUUUAUUUCAUGUAUAUGGAGAAAACGGAUGUUUAUCUUCUGAAACAUUGUCUGGAUGUGUUUGCGACGUAUUGGACUAUAUGUCCUCAAACUUGUAUCAUACAAAGAUGCCGUGCUUUUUCGCAAGAGAUAUGAACACUUGGGGGAAUAUUCUAGAAACUCCUUGGUUUCAAUGGAAGGUAUCGGAAAGUUCCUUGGACUCCGGUUAUGCGUUUGCAAUAUGCUGGAUAAAAUUAAUGUAUGCAUUUUUAAAUCAUCUGAAAAAAAUAAUCUCCGAAAAGAAAAAAAAUUCUGAGGAAGAUUCAAAAGCCCUUUUAAAAAGAUGUGAUUAUUUCAAGGCAGCAGUUGGGAACGUGAUGAAAUACUUUGUAGAACAGAGUUUAGUUUUUCAAAUUGAAGAAAAUCCGGGCUCUUUAGGGGGUUGUACAGAGGAAUUUUUCUCAAACUUUAUCCAAUACCUGAGAAACACUUAUAAUGUAGACUUAUUUUUUCUUUUGUAGAAUAUCGAUUUGUAUAAUAAAAUAUGGGUCUUUU
rnacentral:misc_RNA from 1 species